rnacentral:tRNA from 1 species
GCCUCGGUAGUGUAGUGGUCAAGCACGCUUGGUAAACAGGAGGGCGUGGGUUCGAUCCCAGCCGAGGUA